rnacentral:rRNA from 1 species
AGAGUUUGAUCCUGGCUCAGGACGAACGCUGGCGGCGUGCCUAAUACAUGCAAGUCGAGCGGACUUUUAAAAGCUUGCUUUUAAAAGUUAGCGGCGGACGGGUGAGUAACACGUGGGCAACCUGCCUGUAAGACUGGGAUAACUUCGGGAAACCGGAGCUAAUACCGGAUAAUGCUUCUCCUCUCAUGAGGAGAAACUGAAAGAUGGUUUACGCUAUCACUUACAGAUGGGCCCGCGGCGCAUUAGCUAGUUGGUGAGGUAACGGCUCACCAAGGCGACGAUGCGUAGCCGACCUGAGAGGGUGAUCGGCCACACUGGGACUGAGACACGGCCCAGACUCCUACGGGAGGCAGCAGUAGGGAAUCUUCCGCAAUGGACGAAAGUCUGACGGAGCAACGCCGCGUGAGUGAUGAAGGUUUUCGGAUCGUAAAACUCUGUUGUUAGGGAAGAACAAGUAUCGGAGUAACUGCCGGUACCUUGACGGUACCUAACCAGAAAGCCACGGCUAACUACGUGCCAGCAGCCGCGGUAAUACGUAGGUGGCAAGCGUUGUCCGGAAUUAUUGGGCGUAAAGCGCGCGCAGGCGGUCUCUUAAGUCUGAUGUGAAAGCCCCCGGCUCAACCGGGGAGGGUCAUUGGAAACUGGGAGACUUGAGUGCAGAAGAGAAGAGUGGAAUUCCACGUGUAGCGGUGAAAUGCGUAGAGAUGUGGAGGAACACCAGUGGCGAAGGCGACUCUUUGGUCUGUAACUGACGCAGAGGCGCGAAAGCGUGGGGAGCAAACAGGAUUAGAUACCCUGGUAGUCCACGCCGUAAACGAUGAGUGCUAAGUGUUAGAGGGUUUCCGCCCUUUAGUGCUGCAGCAAACGCAUUAAGCACUCCGCCUGGGGAGUACGGCCGCAAGGCUGAAACUCAAAGGAAUUGACGGGGGCCCGCACAAGCGGUGGAGCAUGUGGUUUAAUUCGAAGCAACGCGAAGAACCUUACCAGGUCUUGACAUCCUCUGACACUCCUAGAGAUAGGACGUUCCCCUUCGGGGGACAGAGUGACAGGUGGUGCAUGGUUGUCGUCAGCUCGUGUCGUGAGAUGUUGGGUUAAGUCCCGCAACGAGCGCAACCCUUGUUCUUAGUUGCCAGCAUUCAGUUGGGCACUCUAAGGAGACUGCCGGUGACAAACCGGAGGAAGGUGGGGAUGACGUCAAAUCAUCAUGCCCCUUAUGACCUGGGCUACACACGUGCUACAAUGGAUGGUACAAAGGGCUGCGAGACCGCGAG